rnacentral:rRNA from 1 species
CCUACGGGUGGCAGCAGUCGGGAAUAUUGCGCAAUGGACGAAACUCUGACGCAGUGACGCCGCGUAUAGGAAGAAGGUUUUCGGAUUGUUAACCUUUGUCGUUAGGGAAGAUAAAAGACUGUACUUAAGGUGGUAGCCUCGGCUUACUAUGUACCAGCAGCCGCGGUAAUACCCAGGGGGCAAGCGUUAACCGGAAUGAUGGGGUUUAAAGGGAGCGUAGACGGGAUAAAAAGUUGGUUGUGAAAGCCUUCGGCUCAACUGAGGAAAUGCAAUUGAAACUGGUCGCCUUGAGUGUAGGUGAGGAAAGUGGAAUUCGUGGUGUAGCGGUGAAAUGCGUAGAUAUUAGGAAGAACACCAGUGGCGAAGGCGACUUUCUGGACUAUAACUGACGUUGAGGCACGAAAGUGUGGGUAGCAAACAGGAUUAGAUACCCUUGUAGUC